rnacentral:rRNA from 1 species
AUUGAACGCUGGCGGCAUGCUUUACACAUGCAAGUCGAACGGCAGCGGGGUAGUGCUUGCACUACUGCCGGCGAGUGGCGAACGGGUGAGUAAUAUAUCGGACGUACCGAGUAAUGGGGGAUAACCAAUCGAAAGAUUGGCUAAUACCGCAUACGUCCUGAGGGAGAAAGCGGGGGAUCGCAAGACCUCGCGUUAUUCGAGCGGCCGAUAACUGAUUAGCUAGUUGGUGGGGUAAAGGCCUACCAAGGCGACGAUCAGUAGCGGGUCUGAGAGGACGAUCCGCCACACUGGGACUGAGACACGGCCCAGACUCCUACGGGAGGCAGCAGUGGGGAAUUUUGGACAAUGGGGGCAACCCUGAUCCAGCCAUGCCGCGUGUAUGAAGAAGGCCUUCGGGUUGUAAAGUACUUUUGUUAGGGAAGAAAAGGGAAGUGCUAAUACCACUUUUUGCUGACGGUACCUAAAGAAUAAGCACCGGCUAACUACGUG